UUCGGUGUCUAAGUCAGUUUUGUCACAAAAGACGAUAAAAAUGUCGAAGUCGAUCCGUUUCAGUUUCUAUCGUGUAAAGUUGCAGCCGCCAAAGGUCAACCCAACAACCUCUGCAUGUGAUUUAACACAUCUGCUGCAAGCAGUCUUCGGACUUUGCAUCUUGGAAAACGCCAGAAAGACAUCCCAGAAAAUUCCCAUGCCCGCUCCUCCUGACGUCUUGUUUCCCAGGAUACCCUCUGCAGGCUAAUCCAGCAUUGUGAGUCUCCACUGGUUUUUUCGGUGGCUGCUCCCGUUGACCGUGGAGUUGGUCAGUUUCCCUGCAUGGCCCCUGUGUGGUCCGCCUGGGCCCCUCUGUCGUCGCCAUCGC